rnacentral:rRNA from 1 species
GUGGGGAAUAUUGGGCAAUGGGCGCAAGCCUGACCCAGCAACGCCGCGUGAAGGAAGAAGGCUUUCGGGUUGUAAACUUCUUUUACCAGGGACGAAAAAAAUGACGGUACCUGGAGAAUAAGCCACGGCUAACUACGUGCCAGCAGCCGCGGUAAUACGUAGGUGGCAAGCGUUGUCCGGAUUUACUGGGUGUAAAGGGCGCGUAGGCGGGAGAGCAAGUCAGGAGUGAAAUCUAUGGGCUUAACCCAUAAAUUGCUUUUGAAACUGUUUUUCUUGAGUGAUGGAGAGGCAAGCGGAAUUCCUAGUGUAGCGGUUAAAUGCGUAGAUAUUAGGAGGAACACCAGUGGCGAAGGCGGCUUGCUGGACAUUAACUGACGCUGAUGCGCGAAAGCGUGGGGAGCAAACAGGAUUAGAUACCCUUGUAGUCC